AUGUGGCAGAUAAAUGCUCUAAAUUUAAGAUUUAAUUAUGAAAUUCCUUUAGAA
rnacentral:tRNA from 1 species